AAAAGGAUGAAAAUGGAGAAAAGGAUGGAAAUGGAGAAAAGGAUGAAAAUGGAAAAAAGGACAAAAACGAUGAAAACGAUGAAAACGAUGAAAACGAUGAAAACGAUGAAAACGACAAAAACGACAAAAACGACAAAAACGAUAACAAUAACGAACAAAUAGUCUACUCUUUUGAAGGAGGAAUAUAUAACGCCUAUUUAAAUUGUAUUGAACAUUUGAAUAAACAAAAAAAAAACGAAAAGAGAAAGCAAGAAAAAGGAGAAAUGCUUGAUAAUGAUGAUGAUGAUGAUGAUGAUGAUAAUGAUGAUGCAUUAUAUGUUGUGGAAGAAGAAAAUAAAAAUUUACUCUUAGAACUAGAUNNNNNNNNNNNNNNNNNNNNNNNNNNNNNNNNNNNNNNNNNNNNNNNNNNNNNNNNNNNNNNNNNNNNNNNNNNNNNNNNNNNNNNNNNNNNNNNNNNNNUUAGAACUAGAUGAUAAUAUUAAAGAUUUGAAUUACAUCGAGCAUAAGAAAAGGUUACUACUAAACAGUGAGCGUAACAACAAUAAUAAUGGUAUUAUUAGUAGUAAUAAUAAUAAUUAUAAUUAUGUUAACAAUUGUGAACAAACGAGAAUAGCAUAUAGUAUUAAACCGUGGCAACAAGGGAUUUUAUGGGAAGAGAAUAUAAAAAAAUGGAUUGUAUUUUUUAAAGACUUAAGCAAAAAUUUAAGAAUCAGUUGCUUUAAUCCAGUUGAUUAUAAUAAUGAUGUAAUAUUAACUUAUAAUAAAUGUCUUGAAUAUUUUAAUUUAAUAAAGAAGUCUAAUAGUUUUGGUGAAUACAUAGAGGAUUUUCCUGAGCUUAUUCAGAAUUUUUUACAAAAUAUAAAAUAUAAUAAAUUAGCAGACGAACAAAAAAUUGUGUCAAAUAGUAGUACUACUACUACUACUACUACUACUACUACUAUGAAUGGUAAUAACAUGCAAGAACCCCAAAUGAUAUACUCAUAUUUGUCUUCGUUGUAUAAUAACACAUCUGGUGGAAAUGGCACAUACAAUUUGUAUAACGCAUACAAUAAGAACAUGGGUUAUAAUGGUUAUAAUAAUGAUAGUAUUAAUAAUGGUGAAUGUAAUUAUAAUUGUUUUAAUAACGUUUGUAAUCAUAGCGUUAGUAAUAGUGAUAGUAAUAAUAAUUGUGCUAGUCACGAAAAAGGAAAAAGAAAGACAAGAGGACGUGGUAAAAAAAAUAAAUGCUUAGACAAUAAUGAAAUUGUAUUAUUUCCUCAUAAUGUUAACUCUGACUUAAAAAGUAAAGGCAAUAAUAGUGCGAGUAUAUAUGAUGAUUCAACAAGUGACGAUUCGGUAUUAUUAAAUUAUAAAGAACAUAAAAAAAAAAGAAAAAGUCAAAAUAAAAAUAAAGACUUAAUAGAUUUUACAGAUGAAAAACAGUUAAGUCAAAAUAAUUUACUUCAGUAUCAUCAUAAUGAAUUUUGCAACAACAUGAAUAUUAUUAGAAGUAUGACAAGAAAUAAUAAUAAUAAUAAUAAUAAUAACAAUAAUGAUGUUAAUACUAUUACAUCUAUAAGACAACCAAAUGACGAUAACAGUAAUGGAAUGACGACACUACUUGCCCCUUUAAAUCAAGAAGAGCUUGAAAAUCGUUUUCCAUUCAACGAAAACAGUAAUAACGAAAUGCCAUUGCAUAGUGAAUUUGUAAAUGGUGAAAAAAAGUACAAAGUGGAUUACACAAAAUUAGAAGGUCAAUUAAAAAAAAAAAGUAAAUUAAAUAAUAACAAUAAUAAUAAUAAUAAUAAUAAUAAUAAUAAUAAUAAUAAUAAUACUGGGUUAGGAUAUAGUAAUGGUCCAUAUCCAAAAGAUGUAUGCAAUGGUUCUCAAGGUUUAUUAAAAAAUGUAAAAAAAGAAAUAAGUUGUGAUAAUAAUUAUAUGUUAAACGGAAUUAUAAAUGGAAACAAUACGAAUGAAAAUAGAGACCAUGUUUUCUUUGAAAAUUAUAACAACGGAUGUAUUGAUUUAAGUAAUGACUUAUUCAACGGAAUGAAUAGUAAAGAUAGAAUGUAUAAUGAAAAUAGUUUAAAAAAGGAUAACGAUGUGAUAAAAGAGAUGGUAUAUAACGGUAAUAGUACCAAUAACCGCCAGAGUAGCAAUAACGGAGUAGGUAGGAGAUCCAAAAAUAAUACUGAAAAUAAAUAUUCAAAUAUUGAUAAUAAAGCUAUAAAUAAAAAUAAUGAAAAAAUAGAUGCUUUAAUUGAAAGUAACACAAAUAUUAGAUUACCAAAAAAUGAAAUAUUAAACCAAGCAUCUAAGUUACCAAAAUUACAAGGAAUGUUUUUCGACAAACGACGAAAUUAUUGGACUGUUAGUGUCUGUGGUUUUCGUAAAUCAUUUGGCGUUAGAACCAGAGGAGUGUACCAAGCAUAUAAACUAGCUGCUGAGUUUAGAAAUCAUAUUUUAGAAACGACUAAAGGUAAAUGUUACCCUCAAAAAUAUUCAAGUCUUGGAAGUAAUUUUAAAUAUAAUAGCAAAAAUGGUGUUAGUACUUCUGUUACUGAUUCUACUGGUGCCGUUACCCGUAACAACGAAAACAACAAUAACAGUAAUAAUGUUACAAAAGAUGAAAAAACCAAUUUCCUCAGUGACUGUUCUACUACCACUACUACUACUGCUGCUACUACCACUACUACUACUGCUGUUACCACUACUACUACUGCUGUUACCACUACUACUACUGCUGCUAAUACAUCUGCUACUACUACUACUAGCGCUACUAGUAACGGACUGUUAUCAACACCUUUUGAAGAUGAAUAUAAAAAUAAAUCCAAUUUAACAAAUAGAUUAAGUAGCAAUGAUAAAGAAUUAUUUUAUAAUACUAGUUUUAAUGAAAGGAUGAAUAGUGUUAAUUUAAAAAAUAGUAAUAACAAAAUAAUAAACAAGACAUGCUCAAAUAUUUAUGAUUAUUACAUGGAAAAAAAUAUGCAAAGUAUAAUGAACAGUAAAAAUAGUAGUACUAAUAAGUUUAUAAAUAAUGAAAAUACAACAAAUAGUACUAGUUUUGGAUUUUACGAUGAAAAUUUGAGUAAUAUUAUAUACGAUGAUAAAGUUAUGCAUAAAAAGAACUUAUAUAAAUGUAAAAAUAGUAAAUCGAAACAUAACAACAUUAUUGAAGACGCAGUUAUAUAUAAUAAUAGUAAUACUACUUUUUAUAAUAGUAGUAGUAUUAGUAGUGUUGGUAGUUACAGCAAUUCUCCUACUUUAAUUUAUGAUGAUAGUAACAACAAUAGUAGUAGUACUAACACAGAUUCGAGCUUAAUUACUUUUUUUAGUGAUAUAGACAUACCGAAAAAAAAUGAAAACAGUUUGUUUAAAGGAGUUACUAUUAUUCCUGCAAGUAACAAUACUGGUAGCAGUAGCAACAAUAAUAUUAAUAUACAAAAAAAUACAUUAUCAAAUAAUAAGAUAUUGAACAGUACAGGAUUUAUGUCAAAUUAUUCACUUUCUGUUAUAUGCGAAGCAGAUAAUAAUAUACUACAAAAUACUUUAGAUUGUUUUAUUAGAAAAGAAAAUAGUCUAAACGAAUCGUUAAGUUAUAAGGAUAAAACCAAUGGUACUACUACCGGUACUACCACCGGUACUACUAUUCCUGAUGAUACUAUUACUGGUGCUACUACGACUACUGGUGUUACUACUGAUAGUGACAAUGUCAAUAGUAGCAAUUCGAAGCAAACUGGUAUUAGUAAGAAUGCGCAAAAUGACGAUAAUAACAAUUUGAAAAUAAAUGGCUAUAUAACAGAUAAUGAUAUAACAAAUAGUAAUAUAAAUAAUUAUAAAAAUUUAAACUUAACUAAUUACAAAGGACAAUAUAACAAAAUAUAUCCAAAUAACAUGACUAGUUCUUUUAGUGACUAUCCGUGUUUUAAUUUUCAGAACGAAGUGUUAAAUGAGUAUGGUACAAAUGUAGAAAACAAAAUGGGUACUCUAAAUAUACAGGAAAAACCAUUAACAUUUUCAAAUUUAAAUAAUUUGUUUUAUCCUUUAGAUAGUAAUUAUGAAAAUGAAGAUACUUACAAUAGUAUAUACACUGGUGCAUAUGACACUAGCUAUUGUUAUAAUAACACAAAAGGUAUUUAUGGUAGUAAAAAUAAUAAUGAUGUUACUCGUAUUAGCGGUAAUGAAAGUAGUCGUUACAACAACAUUAAUAGUAGUACAAAAAAUGAGAGUAAUAUUAAUGAUAGUGACAAUUAUACUGGUAAAAACUAUGACAGUUGUAACACAAACGAUAAUAAUGAUGAGAAUAAAAAUGAGCUAUAUAAAGAUUAUAAUAUAGAUUCUGAAAAUAAAAUGUUUAAUUUUAAUAACAUAAUAGAAGAAACGAUAGAACAAAGGGAUAUGCGAAUAAAUAAAGAAGUAAAUAAUUGUAAAUUUGUUGAUGGACUAAUAUAUGAUGAGGCUAAUAAAUGUUUUCGCAUAAAAAUUAAUGGAUAUAGAAAAGCCUAUUCAGUUAUUAGACGUGGUGUUAAAGAAGCUUAUAAAUUAAGUAUUGAAGCAAUUGAUCAGAUAAAAAAACAAAGUAAAAUAAACACUAGUACUUAUAUAAAUAAUUUAGAAGAACCAAAUAUUACUACGAACAAUUUCUCAAGUUAUUAUAAUUAUAAUUCUGAUUAUAAUUAUAAUCCUGAUCAUGCUUCUAUUCACAAUUAUCAGAAUAAAACUAAACAAGAUGCACAAAAUGAAUUUACUGAAAAUAUAUAUGACAAUAUUUUGGACAUAAACACAAAAACUGACAGAACUAACGAACUUAACGAUAUUAACCAAAGUGAUUUACUCGCUGAUGUCAAAAGGAUAACUGAAAUGAAUGAUGUUACAAUAUUAAAUAUGGAUGAUAAAUAUAAUGAAUUACUUAAAGCAGCCAUAAUAAUUUGUUUGAAUGACAUAUUGAUGAAUUGCAUACCUAAAGUGUUCCAUAUAUAUCAAUCCCUGAGCAUAGAAAAUAAUGUAAAAAUAUAUUAUAUAAUACAUACAGAAAAAAAAAGAAAAGAACAGUCUUUAAAAUAUCAUAUAGAGUAUACACAAAAUGCUAUAGGAGUAUCACCACUUAUGCCAUAUCUUAAAUUGUUCAGUACCGAAAUUUUGAAUAAUAUAUUACCAUCAGCACAGUCCUUAGAAAAUCAAAGUCUAAUUAUUCAUUCUCUUGAUUUGCAAUCAUAUAACACUUCGUAUUAA
rnacentral:lncRNA from 1 species